rnacentral:rRNA from 1 species
UACGGGGGGAGCAAGCGUUGUUCGGAUUUACUGGGCGUAAAGGGCGCGUAGGCGGCCACCGCAAGUCGACUGUGAAAUCUCCGAGCUUAACUCGGAAAGGUCAGCCGAUACUGCGGGGCUAGAGUGCAGAAGGGGCAACUGGAAUUCUCGGUGUAGCGGUGAAAUGCGUAGAUAUCGAGAGGAACACCUGCGGCGAAGGCGGGUUGCUGGGCUGACACUGACGCUGAGGCGCGAAAGCUAGGGGAGCGAACGGG